GACGAACGCUGGCGGCGUGCCUAAUACAUGCAAGUCGAACGGUUUAGUUCAAAGAGGCUUGCCUUUCGGAACUAGACAGUGGCGGACGGGUGAGUAACACGUAGGCAACCUACCUGUCAAACCGGGAUAACCGCGGGAAACCGAAGCUAAACCCGGAUACGCUCCUUUUUCGCAAGAAGGGGGAGUGAAAAGGUGCGACCUGAUGACAGAUGGGCCUGUGGCGCAUUAGCUCGUAGGUAGGGUAACGGCCUGCCUAGGCGCUGAUGCGUAGCCGAGCUGAGGGGGCGUACGACCACACUUGUGCUAAGGUACGGCCCAUACUGCUACGGGAGGCAGCAGUAGAGUAUCUACUGCGCUGGGCGAAAGCCUAGCCAUGCAACGCCGCGUGAGUGAGGAAUCCCUUCGGAAUGUAAAACUCUGUUGUAUGGGAAGAAGGGAAAGGGUAGGACGCUUAGGUGACGGUACCAAACGAGAAAGCCCCGGCUAACUACGUG
rnacentral:rRNA from 1 species